CAUGGAUAGCCUGUCAUUUGCAAUUCCUGUUUCUUCUCUCCCCCUCCCGUUCUCGCGAUCUCCCCCCGCCUCCCUCCCGCUCUCGCGAUCUAUCUCCCUCCCCACGUAUGCUCUCAACCAGCGAUGGCUACGGCGACCACGACGACGACGAGAUCCAGUUUCACCUGCAAGCCCUAAUUUCACCUCCGACGACGACGGCGAUCAUCGAAAACGGUGAGAACUUCUCGAUCCUCUAUCUCUAGUUCCACUGAAACCCUAAAUUCUAGAUUCAAACUCCAUUCUCUCGAUUGAUUUCUCUACCGAGCUCCCUCCCAGCCAGCGAAAAACCCAGCCCGCCAUUUCUCCGCUUUCCAAGCCCUAACUUUCUUCCUCUCGAUCCACUGCCAAAACCCUAACCCUAGCUACCGCCGGCGAUCUCCACCCAAACCCUAGCACCUCAAUCAUAUUAUUGGCGGUCGAUCUCUGGAUGGGCAUGGAUGGGCAGCAGCGAGAGCCCGGAGGAGCCAAAGAAAGGUCGAUCGAAGACGCCCAAAAAGACCAAGGAGAGCGUGCUAAAGCAAAAAUCCCCGGUGGAGUUCUUCGUCGAGAACAAAAACAUUGCUGGAUUCGAUAAUUAUCUGUAGAAAUGGACAUUAGACAUGCUUGAGUUUCUUGAAGUGCAUUCGGAGGGUAGAAAAUCUAGUUUCAAUCUCCUUCUUUAACGAGGUAUGGCAUUUUAUGAGUGAGGUUUUGAUGGUUGUGAUCUCUGCCUUCUUUAAGAAUAUCAAUCUCCUUCUUUAACGAGGUAUGUCAUUUAUUCAAGCGGAGUUUUUCAGCCCUAUAUAUUUGAUCGGAACUUGUUGAUCUUAUGAUUCUCAAUGACUGAUUAGAUCAAGACCUAGAAAAAUCACUCAAUGCUUUUAAGUUCAGCGGGAAAUGUUGAUCAGAUAGCCGAAUUAGUGAUCUUUGUGAAUCAAAAGAGUAGUUUUAUUUGGGGGAAAUAUUAUGCUUUUGUGCUCUUAUCUAAUAAAGGGUUAUAAAUUUUCAAAUUCUUAUUGGAUUUUAUAAAUUAUAGUAUCUACUAUGUUUUUCCCCUUUUGAAAGGUCCAAUGGCAAGGAGAAGCUUUUCCUUUAAUUCGACUGACUAGACUAUUGUGAUUGUUAAUGUACCACAACUUGUUGGAAAAGUGAGACCUGUAACAGGAGUACUAUAAUGCCCAUGUAUCGUGCACCAUAAGAGGUUAUUGUUUCAUGGAUAUUCAUUGUUGGUCUGAGACAAGUAUUCGUGGUCUCGAUUUUUUCCCCUACUUUAGUUUUCAAUUCAAAAACAGUUUCGUUUUUACUGUCAGCUUGAAAAGUAUGUUUUUUGUUAGUCUAUCUUAGUCAGAGAUUCUAAUUAUGAUAUAAAAUUUGUAUUUGUCUACUGUGAGUUUUUCCCAUAUUGUUAUUAGUGACUCAUUUGUGUUUUCCCUCCUCCAGCAUCACUUUCUUGGUUAUAAGUAGGAAAGUUGCUGUCUUAGGGAAAAACUUCCUUAAUUGGAUAUAUGGCGUGUUUUGGAUGCUGCGGAGAAGAAGACUUUCACCAAGCUACUGAUACGGGAAGACCUUUCACUGCACACCAUGCGACAGGUGAUUCAAGAACUCGCAAAACAAGACUUUCUGAACCGAGGGGACGAAACUACAAAAGAAAUACAAAGUGAAAGUGUACAAGCAUUAGAAAAAAUCUCUUAUUUGAAUUAGAUGUAAAAGUCUUAAAGAAACUAGUGCGAGAGAAAACUUAAACAUGACACUAUAUAAACUUAAACAUGACACUAUGUAACUGCAAAAUAUUAACUUUUGUUGGUUUGUAUUUGUUGGAUAUUUUGGAUCUCUACUUUGCUAAAUUGUUAUAUGCAAAUUUGAAGUUUCUACUU